GUUCUGUCUUUAGUUUGAAUUUAAUGGAUUGUUAGUCAAUUGGUUCCUCCCUUCAAAUGUUGACAGACAACAUCUCACUCAGGGUCUAAACAACAAUUGUAGUCCAAGGCUACUACAAAUCUCUUUGCUUAAUAGCAGGUGAAUUUGGUAAAUCAAGUGAACUGUCAAAAUGUGUCCAUGUUUCAUAGCACGUUCCCUUCUUAGAAACUGUUUUGUUUAAAUAUGUUCAUAAGGAACAUUCAUCAAUGUUCCUGGACUGACAUCAAUGAUUCAGGAUAAAAGAUAAAAUUAUCUUUCACAGCUCUUGUUUUUGUCUCUUUGUUUUCAGAGUGCUGUGUCACUAUAUGGGCAGUUGCUUAAUGAUCAUCAAUUCACAGAAAUGUCGUCUCGAAUGAUGGUUGCAGACUUUCUUUAAUCUUGAUAUAAAAAAACUGUGACUGAACAGCACGCUUCUGAAGUCAUGCAUGAGAUGGCUUCCCACGGUGUGCAUUUUGCAACACAAUGGACAACUUGAUUGUCAACAAGAAUUCUUAGAAUGAACAGAUUCAAAUAAAGAUUCAGUAAGAGGAAAUGGACUUCACUUUCAAAUGGUUUUUCUAGCCAUGUAGGAAUUUCAAAGCUGUUCCGAGGUCAAAUAUUCCCUCGCUGCAAUAAACAUCACCAUUUAACCUAAGUGAUAACAGUACAUCAGAUAAACUUGAAAAAUAAAUUAUAAAAAUGACAAGAGACUUCUUUAUCCUGAGUCAUGCUAGGAUGAGGAAAGUAUUUGGUCUGUGUAAUUUACAGCUCAUUUUUAUGAUCAUUUCUUGAGAAAUUUAUCUUGCUUAAGUUAUUACAGUAAUAACACUAGACUCUUGGGUCUCUCAAAAGCAUUUCUGUUUACCAGUAAACCUUUCUGAAUUACUGUGCAGUAUCGUCAACAGCCAUAAAGUCGGAGAGACCACAAUAAAACUCAUACAAGAAAUUUCUAGGAAACUGGUUUACCCAGCCAAGCUACAAAUUACUAAUUCCAGGAAGAAUUCUCUUCUGCUCACUUAAAAUUCUCCCUCCCCCUUAUCCAUCCACCGGAGACUCAAGCCUGAAAGAAAGGUGCCGCAACUGAAGCAAGUAUGCUGUUAAUCUACACAGAGAUCUGCCACAGUUGGCACAGCGUCUGGGGUCCAGUCAGUUCACUUCUCUUGUGCCGCUAUGCUGGAUACCACUUGUUCAGGAUAUGAAGUUUUCAUGGCAGAGAGAAAAAAAGAUGACCAUCUUCUGGAUCGUAGAGCCAUUUAGUCUGGUAUCCUACUCAUGCAAAAGAAGACGGACAUGGUGAGGAAUAUGAUGGUUCCACACACCCAGAUAACUAUAACCAAUGCCUUGGGAAUAGCUGCAACACAAAGAUAUCACGAUGUCAAGCCAUGUCUACAGAAAAAAUCAAGUGGAAGUACAGGAACUUCAUCUUCUGUCACACACAUGCACUGCAGAAGCUGCACCCACUCAUCCACACCAUCACGUGUUCAGAGCUAAUUUGGACAACUUAACAGUAUUAUGAACAUAUAAUUUUUUUUUUGUAUCAAUGCUGAUCUGGCAUAUGAAAUGUUGGACAAGGUAGUGGGAAAAUCAUGUGCUAAUAAGCAAAGGUGAACAAAGAAUCAUAAACUCUAGCUUCAAGAGAAAACAUUUAUAUCACUAAACGAUCAAAGCGAAAUCACACAUCUCUAUGUUAUCCUCUUAAAAUCUGAAAGCAGGGACAGUGUUAAAAGAUAAACACUACUACAAUGUGGCAAGACAAUCUGGGUUUGGCUAAAAGAUUUGUGUUAGUGUUUGUAUUUUGCAAGUACGAUACACUAAACAGCUACUUGGUGCCACAAUCAACAGCAUAAUGUGAGUAAUCCUAAUUAACGUGUUUGUUCAAGUGUAAAUCGGUUGUGUUAAUCAGAUUAUCAUUACAACAAUGGUAGUGCAUAAGUGAUGUAUACCAGUGGGUGGAUGUAAAACAAUGGAAAUGUCUCACUUCAGUUUAACAAUGAAAGCAAAAAUAUUUUCUGAAA